CCCUCGGUGCUUUAAGCGGAGUGGUCACACCCGUUCUCAUUCCGAACACGGAAGUUAAGCACUCUGGCGCUGAUGAUAGUUGGACCCAACCCGGUCCUGCAAAAGUAGGCAAGUGCCGGGG
rnacentral:rRNA from 2 species